GUCUUAAAGAAUUUAAUUUUAAGUCUAAUCUGCCCACUGAAUUAUUUAAAGGGCCGCAGUAUAAAUGUGCAAAGGUAGCAUAAUAAUUAGUUUUUUUAUUGGAAACUAGAAUGAAUGAUUGGACGAAAUAUUAACUGUUUGAAUUUUAAAAAUAAAAUUUAUUUUUUUAGUGAAAAAACUAAAAUUAUUUAAAAAGACAAGAAGACCCUAUAGAUCUUAAUAUAUUAAAUUUAUAUUAUUAUAUAAAUUUAAUUAUUUAAUUGGGGUGAUUAAAAAAUUUAAUUAACUUUUUGAAUUUAAAACUAUAAUAAUAGAUAAAUUUUAAUCAAUUAAAAUUAAUAAUUUAUUAUUUUAUUAAUAAAGAAAAAGAUACCUUAGGGAUAACAGCGUAAUUUUAAUUUUAAGUUCUUAUUAAAAUUAGAGAUUGCGACCUCGAUGUUGGAUUAAAAUUAAUAUUAAAUGUAGGUGUUUAAUAAUUAAGUCUGUUCGACUUUUAAAAUUUU
rnacentral:rRNA from 1 species